CCGCCGCGCGUCAGGAGACUGACAACCGGAAGUCACGACUGAAACCCGGAAGUCCCAGGAGCACACGUGACUCUGCCUCGCCUCUCUUCUUCCCAACGUGGUUGCCAGGGAGACGCCGCAGCGGUCUUAGGCUGGAAGGGAAGGAUGCCUGGGGGCCUGGUCGCAGGAGAUGCAGUGUGUGUUCUCUGCUUUCAGGGAUGCUUCGCAUGGUACAGCAGCCCCGGAUGACUUCGGCCUGUUGCAGUAUGCCGUCUCCCCUCACCCAGAUGGAAUGCGUGGAAGUCCCAGACAGUGUCUGAAGAGUGGUCUAAUAAACGCCCAUUUUGGAAGAAUGCCAAAGAAAUGAUAUCUACAUGGAUCAUGAGUGACGCCCAUUCUUGAGUGAUCUCCUCACCAUACUUCUCACAUAGCCAUAUAAAGUACACCUUUUUCAGAAACCACAUAAACAGAGGACAAGCAAAUUGCACAGUUCCCAUUUGGACAUUCGCAGAGACGUUAGAAAUGGUUGACAAGUAUCACCUGAAAUGCUUACCACUUUGACUCUGUUAGUGCACUGUCUUCUGGUCUCUGAAAUCCCUGGUGGCAGAUACCCUUAUUAUCUUGUUGAUGACCUUUGCCUGUGUUGCCAUUUCUUGUACUUCUGUACUGAAGAUUCACUUUUUACCUAGCUGUGAUGGCACAAAUGUGUUCUCAAGCACUGGGGAGCUUAAGCCAGGACAGUUGCAAAGUUUUGUGGAGCCUGAGCAAAUCACCAAAUCCCUGUCUUAGAGCAACAGUAGGAUUCUUUAUUAUUGUUUUUUCAAAUUUUGAUUUUAAAGAGUAUCAGGGUAGGUCUGAGUUUAUGUUGAAAUUCCUUGAGUUUCUUUGUUAGCUAUACUAAUAAUAAAAGAUAUUAAAAUUCAAA